GAUUGAUAGAGCAUGGAACCAAUCAAACAAUGGAACUGAUCCAUGAGAGGACCUUCCCUUUUAGCCCAUGACUGCUUAGUUUGCUUUGAUGAGGGAUCUUCUCAGUGGCUUUCUGAAAGUCCAAGUCCAAGUCACUCUACCAGCCUUCCCCACCUAUUGCCUCCAUAAUUCAACCCAUUCAGUACAGCUAUAAUCUCACACUGAAUGUAUCUGCAGUGCAUGUAACAAAUUGCCAGUAUCUAUUGUGUAAGAACCUUCAGGUCUGGAACCCUGAGAGUCUGGGCCACUGAUACUUCGCAUUGUAAUGGGAGGUUUAGUCUGGGCUCCCACAGGAGGACCCUGUGAGAUUGGUCUUGGCAGGAAGUGCCACACAGCAGGACUUGAGUGGCAGCCUUUCAUGGCCCACUGAUUGGCCAGUACCACUACUGAAGCUGGCUGAGCAACAACACAACACAACAGCAGUCUGUCUCUGCUCCAGACCCUGCUUGUGAUAGACCCCAGACUCCAGCUUCCAACCGUGGCUUGUCCUCAACUUCACUAUUCAAUUGUCAUCUGUAACCUGGUGCCCGACCCCAAUCUCCUGGUAACCUGACCCUACACCUGACUCUUUGCCCAAUGGCCUAUCUCGCACACUGACCUCCUGGUACUGGACUUGGCCUGAUGCCUAGGCCUGAUCUCCCACAUCCUGGCUGUGACAUACUGCCAGUUCCAGUGAGACAGAAUCAAGAUUACAUAGAAAGGUCCACUGGUGGCUAAUGCAGCAGAUUGAGAAGCUAUCAUCAGAAAGCAGGCAUAAGACAACAAAGGUCAAUAAAGACUCUAUUCAAAUAUAGUACAUGUCAGGAUAAAGGGAUCACCAGUUUAAAUAGCGCUUAUUCUUUAGAUAGCCAUAUGCUACCUCAGAGAGCUAAAAAGAGGGCAGAGAAACUCCUGAAAAGUCAUUGCAAAGAGACUGGAAAAGCAGAUCUUGCUGUCAUAAGCACGAGUUCCAUUGGCAGCACUUUUAACAGAUAUCUAGCAUGACUGUAACUUAUGCGAUUUACAUAUAAAACGCCUUAAAGAUCAGAAAAUCAAUCAUCCAUGUUUUACUUGUCAUGCCUAUUGGUUUAAGCCAAUAUAAAACAAUGUACACUUCUUCGUAUUUUAGUUCUGUUUUGGUUUGAUUGAACCUCUAUAAACCUAUUAUGAAAGUCAGACUAUGGUAAGUCUAAGACUACUGGGGGAUAAAAAGAGGACACAAGGCAAGAUGAACAUAUCAUCAGUUUGGGCAUGGAUUUUAUCCACUGAAUAUAUUUGGAAGUUUGAUUUAGUUAAAAAUCAGACUUCAUUAUAGAGUUAAAAGUCUUUCCACGUUUUCAUGAUAAACCCUUAUUUUCAGUGAUUUAUGUAUGAGCAUUGCAAAAUGAAUGCUGGACUGACAAAGACCAAAAUUUUUUUCAAAUGUUUACUUUUGAUUUUGCAAAAUUAUAUGCACAAAAUGGAUGCUUACUGUAUACAUGUUCACUCAUUUUGUGUGCACAGUGUGAAUUUAAAUGCUCAGUGAGUAUUUUUGUAGGAGCAAAGUAAUCACCAAAUUAACAGGUUACUGAUGAGGGUAAAUUAUCAUCAGUUUGAGUGAGGGAUUCCCAUGCUGGUCCUUUGAGAAUGUAGGGAUAGAUCCCCUAUAUUUUAGUCUCAAUGGGGCUUGGAAGUGAUUAGAGGCAUAACAAUGUGCACCAGUUUAGAAUCUGCCACUUGAUCUACAAGGUCUUAAUCUAAAAGUUAACUUUUUGUUAAGUAUUUAGCCAGUAGUCAAUAAUGAGUGUAAAGAAGUGAGGUUUUAAGAUGCAGAUUUUUGCCAUUGAUAAAUAACAAUAAGGUAUGUGUUUGCUUUCCAUUACAUAUAUUUUAUGAAUUAGUUUACUAACCUAUUCAUAAGGACAUUUCAGUUGUUACAAACGAUUGGUGAUUAUGGAUCAAAUUCUGUUGGCCUUACAGGAAUAAUCCAUUUUGACUUUAAUGGGGCUACUAAUGUGAUUUAGGUGAACAAAUUUGGACUCGAUAUUAACUGUUUACAAACACUAAUUAAAUAUCUCUUAAUAGUAAAUCAGAUAAGUAACAGACAACUGUCAAUGAUAGGAUUAUAUAAGUUAUAUAGGGUCAGGUUCCUGGGUAGUCAUAAAUUCUGAGAGAAAAGCUGCUCUGAGGUGGUUUAUGUAGUCACUAAAAGCUUAGGCUGGAGUUAUAACUUUGUAAUGCAAAAUGUGCUUUUAAAAAAUAUAUUAUACUUUAUAAUUUGUGGAACUGACAAUAAAAUCCAGUCUAAAAAAUCACAAUAGAAAACAUAGCAAAUAGCUUCACAUUUUUUCACCUGAUUUUUUUUCCUUGUUGUGUAGACACCAAUGACAAACUCCCAUUUUCACACAAGAGGUAUGCAAAAACUCUAGCUGUUGUGUAACCAUCCUACUUGCCCAUUACCAUGACAUACAGAUACCAAACACGCCGUAUAAAGAAAAAUAAUUGUUGUCAUUAAAUGGAUGCUCUUUUUCUGCUCCUUCAUCAGGAAAUUAAAAUUUCUAUUGGUUGUUCCAGAAGAAAAUGUCCUGAGUAAAAGAACAUCUUUUUGGGCCGUCCUUUAUUAUGUGAAGACCUUUGCAAAGAAGGGUGAUACAAACAUACAGCCAUUUUACAAACACGGCUUCCAUCUGCGGUGAUUCAUUCCCCCGUCUCUCUUGAGCUUUGCUUUGAGUGUUGUGUUUAGAGAAAUCCCAGCUCGCUCGCUCUCUCUCAGAAAAAGGAACUGUUAUGGGAAUGGGGUAAAGGGUGUAUGGCUAUGUACAUUUGAUGUCUGAGUGGCAAAAUAGUGUACAAAGAGCAUAACAGUUGAGCCAGAGAGAAUAUACAUAAGAUAUGAGAGGACUGUUUAGGAGCCUAAAUAUCUUUGUGGAUCUGAGCCUAUGUGCCUUUCUACAAGAUAAGUUGGAGGGGGGGAAGAGGAACAGUAAAUUCAAUAGUUCUUCCAUGGAUUUGCCAUUGUAACCUACAGAAGACUCCAAAAUAUAAACUUGCACUGUAGAUAUUUCUUUGUGUUAGUUCUAUGGUAAUCACACUGAUAUAUAGCUUUCCCUCUGAUUUGUAGAAAAUGAUGGAAAUAAUUAAAUAGGUUAAAUCUGUGCUUGAGCUAACAAUGCUUGAAAUAUUGGCUUGCAUAUGAUUUUGUUUUUCAUGUAUAAUGUUCUUCCUAUGAAUUAUUCGUGGACUUGUUUAUUGUAAUCACAGUCUACAGAGAAAACAGUCUCAGGAAGCCACAUUUACUGAACAUAAUGUAACUUUUUG